rnacentral:rRNA from 1 species
UGGGGAAUCUUAGACAAUGGGGGCAACCCUGAUCUAGCCAUGCCGCGUGAGUGAUGAAGGCCCUAGGGUUGUAAAGCUCUUUCAGCUGGGAAGAUAAUGACGGUACCAGCAGAAGAAGCCCCGGCUAACUCCGUGCCAGCAGCCGCGGUAAUACGGAGGGGGCUAGCGUUGUUCGGAAUUACUGGGCGUAAAGCGCACGUAGGCGGAUUGGAAAGUUGGGGGUGAAAUCCCGGGGCUCAACCCCGGAACUGCCUCCAAAACUAUCAGUCUGGAGUUCGAGAGAGGUGAGUGGAAUUCCGAGUGUAGAGGUGAAAUUCGUAGAUAUUCGGAGGAACACCAGUGGCGAAGGCGGCUCACUGGCUCGAUACUGACGCUGAGGUGCGAAAGCGUGGGGAGCAAACAGG